rnacentral:rRNA from 1 species
UACGGAGGGUGCAAGCGUUAAUCGGAAUUACUGGGCGUAAAGCGCACGCAGGCGGUCUGUUAAGUCAGAUGUGAAAUCCCCGGGCUUAACCUGGGAACUGCAUUUGAAACUGGCAGGCUUGAGUCUCGUAGAGGGGGGUAGAAUUCCAGGUGUAGCGGUGAAAUGCGUAGAGAUCUGGAGGAAUACCGGUGGCGAAGGCGGCUCACUGGGGGUCUUCUGACGCUGAGGAACGAAAGCCAGGGGAGCGAACGGG